CUGCAACUCGACUACAUGAAGCUGGAAUCGCUAGUAAUCGCGGAUCAGAAUGCCGCGGUGAAUACGUUCCCGGGUCUUGUACACACCGCCCGUCACACCAUAGGAGUCGGAAAUGCCCGAAGUCUGUGACCCAACCUUAGGGAGGGAGCAGCCGAAGGCAGGUCGGAUGACUGGGGUGAAGUCGUAACAAGGUAAC
rnacentral:rRNA from 1 species